rnacentral:lncRNA from 1 species
GGACCUGGAACGGCACCACGAGGGUUGCCAUCAAAACCCUGAAGCCAGGCACCAUGUCUCCAGAGGCCUUCCUGCAGGAGGCCCAAGUCAUGAAGAAACUGAGGCAUGAGAAGCUGGUGCAGCUGUAUGCCGUGGUGUCAGAAGAACCCAUUUACAUUGUGACAGAGUACAUGAACAAGGGUAAGGUCUGAGCCCAGGCUGACCUCUGCUCAGAUGCCCGCACGGCAGACUGAGGGUAACUUAUUCCUUACCCCAAACCAACCAGAUGAGUGGACAGCUGUGUCAGGGACUGCCUCUCUCCUUUCGUAAAGAAUAACAAAUCAACUAUUUUUUCCCCUAAAAGACGUUUCUUUUGUCCCUUACCACUGACAGGAUCCCUGUUGUUGCU